GAGGCUGAAAGCCUGAAACAUCAAGAAAGGCAGCUCAGUGGAUCAUGGUUUUUCAAAUCACGAAGUGGAUGGAGUACUGACGCAUUGCGUGUCAAGAAUCAAGAUUCCAUUUCCGGCAAAAGAUGUGGGAGCAGAACUAUCCUAACAACAUGAUGGAGAAUGGAAUUAAGACAAAAAUAAUGCUAAGAAUAUUCAGAGCAUGUCCAAUUUGAACAAUGCCGUUAACUACUCAUAAUCAAUAAACAAUUUGUUCCAUGGACAUUAACUUAUUACUUAGAGAAAAGGAUGUGUUGAGAUUAAUAUGCACUAAUGCAAUGUGUCACCAUUUUCUUGAUGCAUCAAGCUUAGGAGAUACUGAGGUCAUCAAUGAGUCUUGCAUUCAAGUGAGGUCAAUUAUACA